ensembl:misc_RNA Metazoa_SRP Metazoan signal recognition particle RNA
GCCAAGUGUGGUGGCACGUGCCUGUAGUCCCAGCUCCUCAGGAAGCUGAGGCUGGAGGAUAGCUUGAGUCCAGGAGUUCUGGGCUGUAGUGCACUGUGUCCAUUGGGUGUCCGCACUAAGUUCAUCCAUAUGGUGACCUCCCGGGAGUAGGGGACCACCAGUUUGCCAAAGGAGGGGUGAACAGGCUCAGGUUGGAAACGGAGCAGGUCAAAACUCCCGUGCUGAUCAUUAGUGGAAUCACACCUAUGAAUAGCCACUGCACUCCAGCCUGGGCAACAUAGUGAGUCUCUU